rnacentral:rRNA from 1 species
UACGUAGGGACCAAGCGUUGUUCGGAUUUACUGGGCGUAAAGGGCGCGUAGGCGGUAUGACAAGUCACUUGUGAAAUCUCCGGGCUUAACUCGGAACGGCCAAGUGAUACUGUCACGCUAGAGUGCAGAAAGGGCAAUCGGAAUUCUUGGUGUAGCGGUGAAAUGCGUAGAUAUCAAGAGGAACACCUGAGGCGAAGGCGGGUUGCUAGGCUGACACUGACGCUGACAGCGCGAAAGCCAGGGGAGCAAACGGG